AUAACCUACCUAUAAGACUGGGAUAACUUCGGGAAACCGGAGCUAAUACCGGAUAAUAUUUUGAACCGCAUGGUUCAAAAGUGAAAGACGGUCUUGCUGUCACUUAUAGAUGGAUCCGCGCUGCAUUAGCUAGUUGGUAAGGUAACGGCUUACCAAGGCAACGAUGCAUAGCCGACCUGAGAGGGUGAUCGGCCACACUGGAACUGAGACACGGUCCAGACUCCUACGGGAGGCAGCAGUAGGGAAUCUUCCGCAAUGGGCGAAAGCCUGACGGAGCAACGCCGCGUGAGUGAUGAAGGUCUUCGGAUCGUAAAACUCUGUUAUUAGGGAAGAACAUAUGUGUAAGUAACUGUGCACAUCUUGACGGUACCUAAUCAGAAAGCCACGGCUAACUACGUGCCAGCAGCCGCGGUAAUACGUAGGUGGCAAGCGUUAUCCGGAAUUAUUGGGCGUAAAGCGCGCGUAGGCGGUUUUUUAAGUCUGAUGUGAAAGCCCACGGCUCAACCGUGGAGGGUCAUUGGAAACUGGAAAACUUGAGUGCAGAAGAGGAAAGUGGAAUUCCAUGUGUAGCGGUGAAAUGCGCAGAGAUAUGGAGGAACACCAGUGGCGAAGGCGACUUUCUGGUCUGUAACUGACGCUGAUGUGCGAAAGCGUGGGGAUCAAACAGGAUUAGAUACCCUGGUAGUCCACGCCGUAAACGAUGAGUGCUAAGUGUUAGGGGGUUUCCGCCCCUUAGUGCUGCAGCUAACGCAUUAAGCACUCCGCCUGGGGAGUACGACCGCAAGGUUGAAACUCAAAGGAAUUGACGGGGACCCGCACAAGCGGUGGAGCAUGUGGUUUAAUUCGAAGCAACGCGAAGAACCUUACCAAAUCUUGACAUCCUU
rnacentral:rRNA from 1 species